GAUGGGUGAGGUGGUGCACGCCUGUAAUCCCAGCAGCUUGGGAGGCUGAGGCAGGAGGAUGACGAGUUCAAAGCCAGCCUCUG
rnacentral:sRNA from 1 species